rnacentral:rRNA from 1 species
AUCGAACGCUGGCGGCAGGCUUAACACAUGCAAGUCGAGCGAGUGGCGGACGGGGGAGGAAUGUCUGGGAAACUGCCUGAUGUAGGGGGAGAACUACUGGAAACGGUAGCUAAUACCUCAUACCAGCAGAUGUGCCCAGAUGGGAGUUGCUAGUAGGUGGGGUAAUGGCGGACCUAGGCGACGAUCCGUUGCUGGUCGGAGGGGAUGACCGGCUACACUGGAACUGAGACACGGUGCAGCCGCCUACGGGCUGCAGCAGUGGGGAAGAUUGCACAAUGGGCGCAUGCCUGAUGGAGCCAUGCCGCGUGUGUGAAUAAGGGCUUCGGGUUGUAAAGCACUUUCAGCGAGGAGGCGUUACUCGCAGAAGAAGCACCGGUUAACACCGGGCCGGCGGCCGCGGUAAAC